CAAUUCCAAUGCCACUUCAAUCGCAUACUUCGAAACUGUUAGUUUUACUUGUGACCAUGGCUUUUCGAUGCACGGACCUGCAGCAUCAAAGUGCAAUACCUCUAAUGGAAAGCUGACCUCUGUACCAGAGUGUUUAGAAUGGAAAUCUUGUGGUCCGCUCACGACAGAAUAUGCAUUUGACCGCCAUCGAAGAAACUUUACGGAAGCUGUGAACUAUUGCAAGAGCCUUGGGAAGGGCAGCAAUUUAGCAAUUCCACGUAGCGACGCUGAGCUUCAGUGUGUCUUCAAUACUAAACCAGCCCGAACUACAAACUGGAUUGGCAUUCGAUCAUAUUUGGUUAGCCCAAAAUUGAAGUUUGUAUCAGUUGAUCGUAACCAAACGAUUACGUACUCCAAAUGGGCCAAGGAUCAGCCAAGUCCACCUGCCCGGAUCACUCAACUGUGUGUAUCAAUGUGGUAUUCACCUCCACACGAUACCAACGGUGAAUUCUGGGAUAAUGCCGAAUGCAAGGCCAGACUCUUGAGUGUGUGUCAACAACCAAGCAUUUGGUCAGCUUCCAAGGAACAACAAGGAAUGGAAUAUUGGCUCUUUACUGAUUUUCGUCGUACUCAGCAAGGAGCUAAUGAGUACUGUUCAACUUUAUCCCAAACUGGUAAACUUGCACGUCCACCAAGUACUGAUGACUACAAUGCAAUAACUAAACGCUUUCCCAUAGAGCAGACUUCACUAUUUUGGGUUACUGGUCUGGAUGGCAACUGUGUAGCAAUCCGCACUGGUGAAGCUCCGUCUGAUCAGCACAACGAACCUUGCUCAACUGUCCU